AUGCUGGAGGUAUCAGAAGUGCGAAUGCUGACGUGAGUAACGACAAAACGGGUGAAAAACCCGUUCGCCGAAAGACCAAGGGUUCCAGUCCAACGUUAAUCGGGGCUGGGUGAGUCGACCCCUAAGGCGAGGCCGAAAGGCGUAGUCGAUGGGAAAAUGGUUAAUAUUCCAUUACUUCUGUGUAAUGCGAUGAGAGGACGGAGAAGGCUAAAUCAGCCUGGCGUUGGUUGUCCAGGUGAAAGGAUGUAGGCAUGUAUCUUAGGCAAAUCCGGGGUACUCUAUGCUGAGAUCUGAUAGCAAGCUGUACUUGUACAGCGAAGUGGUUGAUGCCAUGCUUCCAGGAAAAGUCUCUAAGCUUCAGUUACACAGGAAUCGUACCCGAAACCGACACAGGUGGUCAGGUCGAGUAGACCAAGGCGCUUGAGAGAACUCUGCUGAAGGAACUAGGCAAAAUGGUACCGUAACUUCGGGAGAAGGUACGCUGUUGUUGGUGAUGGAACUCGCUUCCUGAGCUGACGACAGCCGCAGAAACCAGGCCGCUGCAACUGUUUAUUAAAAACAUAGCACUCUGCAAACACGAAAGUGGACGUAUAGGGUGUGAUGCCUGCCCGGUGCUGGAAGGUUAAUUGAUGGGGUUAGCGUAAGCGAAGCUCUUGAUCGAAGCCCCAGUAAACGGCGGCCGUAACUAUAACGGUCCUAAGGUAGCGAAAUUCCUUGUCGGGUAAGUUCCGACCUGCACGAAUGGCAUAAUGAUGGCGGCGCUGUCUCCAGCAGAGGCUCAGUGAAAUCGAAAUCGCUGUGAAGAUGCAGUGUACCCGCGGCUAGACGGAAAGACCCCGUGAACCUUUACUGCAGCUUGACACUGAACUUUGACCUUACUUGUGUAGGAUAGGUGGGAGGCUUUGAAGCUGGAACGCUAGUUCCAGUGGAGCCGUCCUUGAAAUACCACCCUGGUAAUGUUGAGGUUCUAACUCUGUCCCGUGAUCCGGGACGAGGACCGUGUCUGGUGGGUAGUUUGACUGGGGCGGUCUCCUCCUAAAGAGUAACGGAGGAGUACGAAGGUGCGCUCAGCGUGGUCGGAAAUCACGCGUAGAGUAUAAAGGCAAAAGCGCGCUUAACUGCGAGACCCACAAGUCGAGCAGGUACGAAAGUAGGUCUUAGUGAUCCGGUGGUUCUGUAUGGAAGGGCCAUCGCUCAACGGAUAAAAGGUACUCUGGGGAUAACAGGCUGAUACCGCCCAAGAGUUCAUAUCGACGGCGGUGUUUGGCACCUCGAUGUCGGCUCAUCUCAUCCUGGGGCUGAAGCAGGUCCCAAGGGUAUGGCUGUUCGCCAUUUAAAG
rnacentral:rRNA from 1 species